rnacentral:rRNA from 1 species
AUUGAACGCUGGCGGCAGGCCUAACACAUGCAAGUCGAGCGGAGCGGCGGACGGGUGCGUAAUGCCUAGGAAUCUGCCUGUUAGUGGGGGAUACCGUCCGGAAACGGGCGCUUAUACCGCAUACUAUCAGAUGAGCCUAGGGCGGAUUAGCUAGUUGGUGGGGUAAUGGACUACCAAGGCGACGAUCCGUAACUGGUCUGAGAGGAUGAGCAGUCACACUGGAACUGAGACACGGUCCAGACUCCUACGGGAGGCAGCAGUGGGGAAUAUUGGACAAUGGGCGAAAGCCUGAUCCAGCCAUGCCGCGUGUAUGAAGAAGGUCUUCGGAUUGUAAAGCACUUUAAGUUGGGAGGCGUUACCAGCAGAAGAAGCACCGGCUAACUUCGUGCCAGCAGCCGCGGUAAUUC